rnacentral:rRNA from 1 species
UACGUAGGGUGCGAGCGUUGUCCGGAAUUAUUGGGCGUAAAGAGCUCGUAGGCGGUUUGUUGCGUCGGCUGUGAAAUCCCGAGGCUCAACCUCGGGUCUGCAGUCGAUACGAGCAAACUAGAGUGUUGCAGGGGAGACUGGAAUUCCUGGUGUAGCGGUGAAAUGCGCAGAUAUCAGGAGGAACACCGGUGGCGAAGGCGGGUCUCUGGGCAACAACUGACGCUGAGGAGCGAAAGCGUAGGGAGCGAACAGG